rnacentral:misc_RNA from 1 species
UGCAGAAUCCCGUGAACCAUCGAGUUUUUGAACGCAAGUUGCGCCCGAAGCCAUUAGGCCGAGGGCACGCCUGCCUGGGCGUCACGCGCUCCGUCGCCCCGCAACCCCGAACCCCGAAACGGGCCAGGGUGCUUGUGGUGCGGAGAUUGGUCUCCCGUGUGCCUUGCUCGCGGCUGGCCUAAAAUUGAGUCCCGGGCGCUCUGUUCUGCGGCCGACGGUGGUUGAGAAGCCCUCGAAAUUGUGCUGCUGCAGUGCUGCCCGAUGUGGACCCUGUGACCCUUGCGCGACCUCUCCCCUUGGGGUGAGGGAGCUCCAUCUGAGACCCCAGGUCAGGCGGGGCUACCCGCUGAAUUUAAGCAUAUCAAUAA